rnacentral:sRNA from 1 species
CAAGUCAGUCAGGAGCUGGAAACACAACUGCGGAUGCACCUGGAGAGCAAAGCCACACGCUCGGGAAACUGGGGUGCCCUACGGGCUUCCUGGGCCAGCAGCUGCCAGCAGCUAGAAGACCUACCUCAUCGGGUUGGUGCAGGAAUGUAAAUGAAAUGAUGUGUGUAAAUCGCCUGGCACAUAAUCAAUGCUUUAAGUUUGUGGAAUUGAAUAAACUUGAAGACAUACAUUAAGUGAGCAGUAACACAAAGAGCUGCUUACAUGAGCGCGUUGAUCAACCGGCAUACGCUGUGGGAGUUUCCAGAAAGAGCAGGGUACUGAUUAGUUCUCAGCGAGGGUGCCCCAGGAAGUGGGGACUGAAUGUGGGUCCCAAG